ACGCUGGCGGUAUGCUUAACACAUGCAAGUCGAACGAAAGCUUUAUGCUUUAGUGGCGAACGGGUGCGUAAUACGUGAGAAUCUGCCCUUAGGAGGAGAAUAACUUCUGGAAACGGUUGCUAAGUCUCCAUAUGCCGAGAGGUAAAAUAGUUUACACUGCCUAGGGAUGAGCUCACGCCUGAUUAGCUUGUUGGUAAGGUAAUGGCUUACCAAGGCCACGAUCAGUAGCUGGUUUGAGAGAACGAUCAGCCACACUGGGACUGAGACACGGCCCAGACUCCUCCGGGAGGCAGCAGUGAGGAAUUUUCCGCAAUGGGCGAAAGCCUGACGGAGCAAUACCGCGUGAGGGAUGAAGGAUUUUGGUCUGUAAACCUCUUUUCUCAAGAAAGAAGUUCUGACGGUACUUGAGGAAUAAGCAUCGGCUAACUCCGUGCCAGCAGCCGCGGUAAUACGGGGGAUGCAAGCGUUAUCCGGAUUUAUUGGGCGUAAAGCGCCUGUAGGUUGUUUAAUAAGUCUGUUGUUAAAGACUAGGGCUUAACCCUAGGAAAGCAAUGGAAACUACUAGACUUGAGUAUGAUAGGGGGUAGAGGGAAUUUCUAGUGUAGCGGUGAAAUGCGUAGAUAUUAGAAAGAACACCGGUGGCGAAGGCGCUCUACUGGAUCAUUACUGACACUCAGAGGCGAAAGCUAGGGUAGCAAAAGGGAUUAGAUACCCCUGUAGUCCUAGCCGUAAACGAUGGAUACUACAUGUUGCGUUUUUAAUGCAGUAUGGUAGCUAACGCGUUAAGUAUCCCGCCUGGGGAGUACGGUCGCAAGACUAAAACUCAAAGGAAUUGACGGGACCCCGCACAAGCGGCGGAGCAUGCGGCUUAAUUCGAUGAUACCCGUAGAACCUUACC
rnacentral:rRNA from 1 species